CGGAAAUAGCUCAGUGGUAGAGCACCACCUUGCCAUGGUGGGGGUCGCGGGUUCGAAUCCCGUUUUCCG
rnacentral:tRNA from 1 species